ACGAACGCUGGCGGCGUGCUUAACACAUGCCAGUCGAACGGAAAGGCCCUGCUUUUGUGGGGUGCUCGAGUGGCGAACGGGUGAGUAACACGUGAGUAACCUGCCCUUGACUUUGGGAUAACUUCAGGAAACUGGGGCUAAUACCGGAUAGGAGCUCCUGCUGCAUGGUUGGGGUUGGAAAGUUUCGGCGGUUGGGGGUGGACUCGCGGCUUAUCAGCUUGUUGGUGGGGUAGUGGCUUACCAAGGCUUUGACGGGUAGCCGGCCUGAGAGGGUGACCGGCCACAUUGGGACUGAGAUACGGCCCAGACUCCUACGGGGGGCAGCAGUGGAGAAUAUUGCACAAUGGGCGGAAGGCUGAUGCAGCAACGCCGCGUGCGGGAUGACGGCCUUCGGGUUGUAAACCGCUUUCGCCUGUGACGAAGCGUGAGUGACGGUAAGGGGUAAAGAAGAACCGGCUAACUACG
rnacentral:rRNA from 1 species